AACGCGAAGAACCUUACCAAGCUUUGACAUCUUCCGAAAGCACCAGAAAUGGAGCCGUGCCCCACAUUGCCUGUUAUGUAAUUUUGCAUAAUCGGCAGCGUGGGGAACGGAAUGACAGGUGCUGCAUGGCCGUCGUCAGCUCGUGUCGUGAGAUGUUGGGUUAAGUCCCGCAACGAGCGCAACCCUUGUCGUCUGUUGUAUUUUUCAGACGAGACUGCCCCGGCCAACGGGGAGGAAGGUGGGGAUGACGUCAGGUCAGCAUGGCCCUUACAGCUUGGGCUACACACGUGCUACAAUGGCCGGUACAACGCGUCGCUAACCCGCGAGGGGGAGCUAAUCGCAUCAAAACCGGUCCCAGUUCGGAUAGGAGGCUGCAACUCGCCUCCUUGAAGUUGGAAUCGCUAGUAACCGUGGGUCAGCAUACCACGGUGAAUACGUUCCCGGGCCUUGUACACACCGUACGUC
rnacentral:rRNA from 1 species